rnacentral:rRNA from 1 species
UUCUGGUUGAUCCUGCCGGACCUGACUGCUAUCGGAUUGAUACUAAGCCAUGCGAGUCAUUGUAGCAAUACAAGGCAUACGGCUCAGUAACGCGUAGUCAACCUAACCUAUGGACGGGAAUAACCUCGGGAAACUGAGAAUAAUGCCCGAUAGAACAUUAUACCUGGAAUGGUUUAUGUUCCAAAUGAUUUAUCGCCGUAGGAUGGGACUGCGGCCUAUCAGUUUGUUGGUGAGGUAAUGGCCCACCAAGACUAUUACAGGUACGGGCUCUGAGAGGAGUAGCCCGGAGAUGGGUACUGAGACACGGACCCAGGCCCUAUGGGGCGCAGCAGGCGAGAAAACUUUGCAAUGUGCGAAAGCACGACAAGGUUAAUCCGAGUGAUUUCUGCUAAAGAAAUCUUUUGUUAGUCCUAGAAACACUAACGAAUAAGGGGUGGGCAAGUUCUGGUGUCAGCCGCCGCGGUAAAACCAGCACCUCAAGUGGUCAGGAUGAUUAUUGGGCCUAAAGCAUCCGUAGCCGGCUCUGUAAGUUUUCGGUUAAAUCUGUACGCUCAACGUACAGGCCGCCGGGAAUACUGCAAAGCUAGGGAGUGGGAGAAGUAGACGGUACUCGGUAGGAAGUGGUAAAAUGCUUUGAUCUAUCGAUGACCACCUGUGGCGAAGGCGGUCUACUAGAACACGUCCGACGGUGAGGGAUGAAAGCUGGGGGAGCAAACCGGAUUAGAUACCCGGGUAGUCCCAGCUGUAAACUAUGCAAACUCAGUGAUGCAUUGGCUUGUGGCCAAUGCAGUGCUGCAGGGAAGCCGUUAAGUUUGCCGCCUGGGAAGUACGUACGCAAGUAUGAAACUUAAAGGAAUUGGCGGGGGAGCACCACAAGGGGUGAAGCCUGCGGUUCAAUUGGAUUCAACGCCGGG